rnacentral:ncRNA from 1 species
GAAAGAUCGGACCCGCUACUGUCCGAUUGGGCAAGGAAAUAAUAGCCCCAAUCAA